rnacentral:rRNA from 1 species
GGGGAUAACUACUGGAAACGGUAGCUAAUACCGCAUAACGUCGCAGGACCAAAGAGGGGGACCCUCGGGCCUCUUGCCAUCGGAUGUGCCCAGAUGGGAUUAGCUUGUUGGUGGGGUAACGGCUCACCAAGGCGACGAUCCCUAGCUGGUCUGAGAGGAUGACCAGCCACACUGGAACUGAGACACGGUCCAG